CCUACGGGCGGCAGCAGUGGGGAAUAUUGGGCAAUGGGCGCAAGCCUGACCCAGCAACGCCGCGUGAAGGAAGAAGGCUUUCGGGUUGUAAACUUCUUUUAUCAGGGACGAAGCAAGUGACGGUACCUGAGGAAUAAGCCACGGCUAACUACGUGCCAGCAGCCGCGGUAAUACGUAGGUGGCAAGCUUUAUCCGGAUUUACUGGGUGGAAAGGGCUUGGAGGCGGGAGUGCAAGUCAGAUGUGAAAACUAUGGGCUCAACCCAUAGCCUGCAUUUGAAACUGUACUUCUUGAGUGCUGGAGAGGCAAUCGGAAUGCCGGGUGUAGCGGUGAAAUGCUUAGAUAUACGGAGGAACACCAGUGGCGAAGGCGGAUUGCUGGACAGUAACUGACGCUGAGGCGCGAAAGCGUGGGGAGCAAACAGGAUUAGAUACCCUGGUAGUC
rnacentral:rRNA from 1 species